rnacentral:rRNA from 1 species
GACAGAGGGUGCGAACGUUGUUCGGAAUUACUGGGCGUAAAGCGCAUGUAGGCGGCUCGGCAAGUCGGAUGUGAAAGCCCGGGGCUCAACCCCGGAAGUGCACUCGAAACUGCCGAGCUGGAGUCCCGGAGAGGAAGGCGGAAUUCUCGGUGUAGAGGUGAAAUUCGUAGAUAUCGAGAGGAACACCUGUGGCGAAGGCGGCCUUCUGGACGGUGACUGACGCUGAGAUGCGAAAGCGUGGGGAG